rnacentral:rRNA from 1 species
AAAACUUAAUAGUUACAACUUUCAACAACGGAUCUCUUGGUUCUGGCAUCGAUGAAGAACGCAGCGAAAUGCGAUAAGUAGUGUGAAUUGCAGAAUUCAGUGAAUCAUCGAAUCUUUGAACGCACAUUGCGCCCCUUGGUAUUCCAUGGGGCAUGCCU